AUUGAACGCUGGCGGCAUGCCUUACACAUGCAAGUCGAACGGCAGCACGGGAGCAAUCCUGGUGGCGAGUGGCGAACGGGUGAGUAAUAUAUCGGAACGUGCCCAGUCGUGGGGGAUAACGUAGCGAAAGCUACGCUAAUACCGCAUACGAUCUACGGAUGUAAGCGGGGGAUCGCAAGACCUCGCGCGAUUGGAGCGGCCGAUAUCAGAUUAGGUAGUUGGUGAGGUAAAGGCUCACCAAGCCGACGAUCUGUAGCUGGUCUGAGAGGACGACCAGCCACACUGGGACUGAGACACGGCCCAGACUCCUACGGGAGGCAGCAGUGGGGAAUUUUUGGACAAUGGGCGCAAGCCUGAUCCAGCAAUGCCGCGUGCAGGAUGAAGGCCUUCGG
rnacentral:rRNA from 1 species